rnacentral:lncRNA from 1 species
UUUUAGACACACUGAACUCCUAUAAUGGCAAGAAUUGGACCCUCUGGGUCUCACUGUGUCACCCAGGCUGGAGCGCAGUGGCACAAUCUUGGUUCACUGCAACCUUCGUCUCCAGGGUUCAAGCAAUUCUCGUGCCUCAGCCUCCCGAGUAGCUAGGAUUACAGGUCUCAACAUAACUCAAAGUUUGAUAGGAGCCUCUGGAAGAGCAACGACAUUCAUUUCUCAGUGAGUGGAGAAGGUGGAUGUGGACAUUGAAAGAGACUGCAUCGGCUUUGGAGUCUGAGAAUUGUCUCUCUGGUCUGCAGAAAUGUUCCAGUAGAGUAGAUGAAGAUUAAGUGUGGCCUGGGUGAGUAUGACAGGUGGGUGGCAGGGAGGGAGCUUGAUCUCCACUAUCAGGCAACCAUUCCUUGGGGCUGAGAUCCUUAGAGAAAAGUUAUUUAGGAGGUUCUUUUUCAUAUUUCUGACCUACUAGCAAUAUCCAAGAAUAGAUUACUAAUUAGAGAGUGUUUUUGUUUGUCUCCUCUGUUUCUCCUGCGCCAUCUUUUGCUGUUUCAUUGCUUUCUUCUGACCGGAUAGUACCUCUGAAAUCUUUCUUCUCACCACCCUAAUCUUCACCAGCCCCUCUGCUGGACGCAGGUAGAAUUGAGCUAAUUUUUAAAAAGCAGCAAUAUUUCUAAUAAGGUGUAAGUGUUAGACUCCUGGGGACCCCACAAGGUGUAAACAUUGCUUAAUAUUUCUGCUUCUUCAUUCUUAGAGGACAACACAAGCUUGGUGCCUCCCCGAGAGCAGAGUAAAAGCUCCUCACAAAAAACAAGAUAAACAAACCAACCGAAAACCCACACCCAAAGUCAGCGUUCUCCAAUAAAAUUAGCCUGUUCACAAUCUUGCAUGGAUUUAAAGAGUGUUCAGGCUAACCUCGAAGUGGCCACCGAGUAGCAAGUCCACUAACUCAACAAGUGGGCAGCUGAGUCCUCUUGGUCCCUUGCUACUAUGCCCACCCCUUACAUUUACACAGUUGAAUUUUCUCUUGAGUUAAAAUGCUGCAUUACAGGUGGCUCUGCACUCAACAUAGCACUGGGUCAGGGGCUGGUUGGGGGUUAGGAUAAAUUGUCUCACUUAAAAGUCCACAAAAAUCGUUACCACUUGAUUUAAAGAAGAAAUUUUCAUCAACGUUUUCCAUGUUUGUGUUUUCCAUUAUAAAAUCAUAUCUCAAAACUGUACUCUAAUUAGUGUGGCACCAAACGACAG